ensembl:rRNA 5S_rRNA 5S ribosomal RNA
UGCCACAGCCAUAUAACCCUGCAGCCCAGGACCAGUUACUCACUGAGCUAAGCAGGGCUGAGCCUGGUCUAUACCUAGAUAGGAGACAACAUGGGAAAAACAGGUUGCUGUUGUGU